ensembl:lncRNA
AUUAUUCUACAUUCUUAACAUGUAUUAACUCAUUUACUCCUUUAUACAAACCUCAUGAUGUAUCCCCAACUUGAGAUGAGGCAGCUGAGGUAUGGAGAGUUUAACAAUUUGCUAAAGAUUAUACAAAUAUUAGGUGGAAGAUCCAGGAUUUAAACCCAAGCCAUCCAGCUCUGGAUCCUACUCUUAACUAUUGCAGUAGGGCUAUUCCCAAAUAGUUAAGUCAUUAUUGAUUGUAUUCCAGUUGGUUGGUGCCUAGAGUGUGCUGGUUUUAAAUAUUUGCUGUAUCCCCCUGGACCUAGGUAAUUUCAGCUUUCUACUUGCUGUCUUCAUCACAUCAACAGUGUCUUCCCUCAUGAUUGAGAGAAGCUCAUUAAUUUGAAGGAUCACAGGUUCGAAAACUUGCUAUAGUGCUCACAAGCACAACCUAAAGCGUUAAUGACAGAGACUGAAAUCUGUGUGCCUCCACAUCCUCAAUGUCUGAAAUCGCACUGGACCACAGCAGGCCAACUUUGCCAAGGCACCCACCAUCUCUGCUGCCAGUGCCCUCUUGAGGAAGGUCCCCACCGUGCCUAGCACCGAAUCCACUUGGGAGUCUCCUCUACCCAGCACCAGAGCUGCUCGGUGGGCUCUGGACGAGUGAGGGAAGGAAGGCGAGCCGCUCUGUUUCUGCUCGAGACUUCAGUGACCACAGCACUUCAGGGCUUGGGUCUACGCUUUCGGAUUUUAUGGUUUAUGGACAAAGCCUUAGGCUGGUGGGAGAGUAGAGAACUCGCAUCCUCUCUCUGCUAUCUUUCUUCCCCUUCUUUUUCCAAGUGCUCAUGCGAAAUAACACCCCUUCCUGUACUUGUAAGAUCCAAACUUAAGUUCCUUCCACAUCCCUUCCAUGCAUUUAGUCCCCCUCCCUUCACCUACACGACGCCUUGGUCAAUUCGUCAUGCUCGACAGGGCUUGGAUUUGAAAAAUACGAAUUUUAAUAAAAUAAUGUACAUCCUUCAAAAGGGAAUAUGUUGUCUUCAGCAUCCUUUAAUGAUCUGGUUGUAGCUGAAGGACGCCUAUCAGAUAUAAGCAGGGGAACUCAGAGAUAGUGCUGUCUGAAGUGACUGAUGUUUGGUGGCCCCCUCUGAAUCAGGAAGAACAGUCGUCCUGGAGUCGUAAACCCUGAGCAAUGAGCUUACACAGCUGUGCCCGAGGCUAUGAGGUCUUGACGCCACUCCCAGGUGCCAUCCCUCUCUGCCUGUG